ACCAUAUGAACAAACUAAAUAUUAGCCUGCCUGAACUAUUGAAUAUGUUCAAAAUAGCAGAGAGCCAUUUCAAAGGUGAAAAAAUUCUAGUUCUUCUUAUAGAUAAGAUCAACAAGAAGAAAGAUAAGAAGGAUUCUAAGAAAAAAUUAAAUCUUAAGGCUAACAUCUCCAAGAAGAAGGCAAAGAAGGUCUCCACCAA
rnacentral:lncRNA from 1 species